UAAAGCUAGAGACACAGACAGAGCUUCAGACAGAGUCAAAGCCAGAGACACAUUCAAAGCCAGAGACACAUUCAAAGCCAGAGAUAGAGACACAGUCAGACAUCCAUUCAGGGACAAACGGAGAACCACAGGGCAAGAGUUCAGGUUACCAAGAACAGCUGAGCCCCAAGGGACAGACCAGCUCCAGCCCCUCAUCCAAAGGCUGCGGGGAUCACCUUACUACAAGCCUGGCCCUUACCCAGGCCCAACCCAGCUCCAGCCCCCCAGCCACCGUCCAGGCUGGUUCACCUGCCCCCAGUCUGGCCCCAACCCUACCCAAGGAGCCUCAGCAAUCUGCAGACCACCGCCAGACAGGUGGUUCCUUCUCUCAAACCCCAGACCGGAACCACAAUGCAACAGGAAGGGUUAAUGAUAAUGACAGGAAUACAUCUGUCCAGACCACAGUUAUUGAUCUGCGUCGUAACGUCAGCUCAACCUCUGCCCGUGUUUCUGAUCAGAGAUCGGAUAGAACAACACAGGAAGACCAUGUAUUCUCUGUAAAUUGUGGAGAAAACACACACACACUGGACCAGACUAACACACACACACUGGACCAGACUAACACACACACACUGAACCAGACUAACACACACACACUGGACCAGACUAACACACACACACUGAACCAGACUAACACACACACACUGAACCAGACUAACACACACACACUGAACCAGACUAACACACACACACUGGACCAGAGAGAAACACACGCUCAGAUUCAGAACCGAGCCUGUAUAGGAGAGGAGGCGAGGGAGGAGGAGGGGGAGAGGAAGAAGAGCGCCCUUGAAGAGCCUUCAGUAGUGGCCACUGCUGCCGCUGGCAACGCGUUGCCCAUGACAACACCCACGAUGCCAGAAAUGAUCGAAUGCGAGGGAGAGGGGAAAAACAGGCAGCUCGAUUGGCUGGAGAGAGACACGGCAGUAACAGCAGAGACAGAGUCUGUGGCACUAGGAGACAGAGGAAGAGGUUUAGAGGGGAUAGAGGAGAGUCUGUUGAAGUGCUCUGCAGGAGAAACAGCUCCUCUCCACCCGGCGUGCAGACACACCCAGGUCUCUUCAAUCGACACGGGGAUAAAAGGCUCACCUGCACUCCCUGUUGAGGAUACAAAGACAGAGACGAGGGUUGUAUCAGCGUCUGACCAGCACUGCAGCAAUAACGCUGUGCCUCACAACUCACCGGAGAGUGAAGAGACGGGAGGGGGGACGCCCGUCAGCGGCACCCCAGGGACCAGCACACUCUCUCCAGCCACGGAGAGAGAGAAGAAGGGGGAGAAAGAAGAAGAGUCUGGACACCGGACAGAAGUCCACAACGUAUCUGAUACCUCUCCUUUUCCCCUCUGGGAAAUCACUGGACGUCACUGCCAGGAAGACAACAACACUGCUACUGCCACCGGAUUGGAGAGAGGGGGAAAGGAGGGAGAGGAGGGGAAAAGAGGAGGAGGAGGAAAGGAGGGCAGAGAACAGAGAGGAGGGAGAGGAGGGGAAGCUGCUGCCAGAGAGCAGGUUUCAUUGAGCCAUCCGACAGCGACGGGCCCCACAGCUAGCAGGGUGUCAUCAGCUGAGAGUGAGACGUGUCAGCCCCCUGACUCUACCACCGCUGCCGUUCCUGUUCCUGUCGACUCAUUACCACCGUCGCAGUGCUGUUGGGGGGCUGAGCUUAUCGCAGCCUCCUCGACCACCUUCACAUCUGCCAGCAGCAGCAUCAUCAUCUCUGCUGAUCAGGUCUGUCUCUCUCUCUUUCCACCAGUACAGCAACAGGGCAACAGAGAUUCAGCUUUCUCAUCUCUUCAGUCUCAGCUCAGCACCUCUGGUAAACAAGAACAAGGCAGUCUCUCUGUCUCUCAGCCCUUCCGGCAGACAGAAAACAGAGAUUUAGCUCUCCUUUCAUCUCUCCUCCCUCCCUUUCACUCUGCUGAGCACGAGGAGACCCGGGACAGCAACAACACAAAGAGGGGCACAGAGACCAAGGAGUCAGGAGACGACAAACUUUGUCUUGAACAGAGUCUGAAGUCAGAAGAGAACAGAGGUACAGAGACAGAGGAGUCGUCUCAUUUCAAACACAGCCUGAAUCCAGAACUAGAGGAGAAAGGAGGAAGGGUGCCCACAGGACCUGUCCUAGGUCUUAAAGACCACUCUGAGACACAGUCACAGGGCUCCAGAAGAAACACAAAGGGAGGCACAGAGACUGAGGACAGGGUUUGUCUCAAACAGAGCCGGGAGAGAAAGGAGGAUCCAGAAGAGAAAGGAGGAACUUUAGGACCUGUCCCAGGAGAAAUAAGAGAAGCCUUCCUCUCAGACACCGGGAGAGAGACAGGGAAGGAUCCUCCGUCUGCCUUCUCUUUUAUCUCACCUCAGCCUCCGCUGGUUUUUCAGACACAGCAGAGCUCGGCUACAGUUUUGAGCUACGAUCAACCGGUCCGUAUCGACCACACCAGCACCGAGAGUGAAGCUACACUCCUCAGUUCAGUACAGCCUCAGUCUCAAGGCUUUGGCAGUGGUGUAGUGGAAGGCCCCACCAUGGCUGGAGUUGAGGUGUUCCAGCUGGCUCGGAUGGGCAAUGUAGGGGACAACAGGAAACUAUUUUUCAAAGAUACGGUGAAAGCUGAUGAUAGCUCUUCUAUAGGCCUCAAUGAUGUCUUUGUCUCCCAACCAGCUACUGGACUGGACUGUGCCUCCCUGCCUCCACUGAAGAUACACGAGAACCUUCACCACCCAGUGACUGAAUCCAGUUUCACUUCCCAUGACUUCCUCAGCUCCAAGAAGCCAGAGAUCCCACCACCACCAGCCGUAAGCCCACCACAAGCGGCUCUAGCUGGGGAUGCUCUUCCAACACUGAACCCACUUGACUUCCAGGAGGAGCCUCAGCGGAAGUCCCAACCAGGAAGAGAUGUCAAAGACUCUGGGAAGGUGUCAGAGUCUGGGAAGGGGUCAGAGGAAGGAGAGAAGGAGAGAGGAGAGAAGGAGGGACAGAAUAAGUAUGGACAAGAUAGAGGAAAAGUAGAAUCGUGCCUGUUAGCUAGGACAGGGCUUCCAGAGACCCCACAUGGAGAUUCUGGAGCAUUAGUAGUCAAAGACGAUAGUAAAAGACGUCAGGACUCCGCUCCUAUAUCUACUCUUAAUGCAGCUGACCCAGACCCAGUCCCAGUCCCAGACUCAGAACAGGUGGAUUUCAAACUUCCUCCUCCUCCUCCUUCUUCUUCAUCCCUCACACCAUCCCCUGCUCAGAAGCAUCUCACCACCACAUCCAGUGAAUCUGUUUUCCAGUUUUUUUUUGAAGAUGCCUUCACCUCUGCUGGACCUGUGUGCAGUGCCCAGUGUCUGUGUGCAGUGCCCAGUGAAGGUUCCCUCUCUAUCCAGCCAGACGGUGGAUCGAGAUCAAACCCCUCUGGAGAUGUGACCUUGACCAACACCACGGCUGUAGUAGUCACUAGGAUGCUGCAGACAAAACCGGAUGAGGACCAGCCCACCAUUCAGGCUGAUCAGCCCACAAGCCAAUUAGACCAAUCAGACCAAUCAAUUCACCAUGACCUUCCUGUCACAGAUCAUAUGGAGACCAGAGAGAGGCCGCCACAGACUCCACAAUGUUCUAGAGACCCUUCCUCUGUGGCUUACGCUAUGGCUGGGGACAGACUUGAGGAUGGAGCCGGGACCGAAGUUGUGCUAGAGACUGGGCUUCGUAUUCCAGAGAUGAAUGUCCCUAACCAAUCCCCUUCAGAUCCUAUGAAGGGUAGAGAGGGGCCUCAGAGUACAGACUUCCCUUCUUUGGAUUUGGCUAAGGCUGAAGAUGAGGCAACGACUGUGGCUGGAGCUGAGGUUGAAGAUGAGACAACGACGGUGGCUGGAGCUGAGGUUGAAGAUGAGGCAACUACCGUGGCUGGAGCUGAGGCUGAAGUUAAGACAGUGACUGAGGCCAGUAUUCCAAAGGUAACAGUCUUUGACCUGUGCUCUCCUAUACUGAGGGAUCAAUCUGAUAGCAUUGGGCCAAUAGUGAUACUGAAGCACCCAGGUCCCAUGCUGAGUCACUAUGACAUCAUCGAACUUCCUGAUCAUGUGACAGGGGAAAUGACACCACUCCCUGAUCAUGUGAUACAGGAAGUGACACAGGCAGCAUCUGCAAUACUGGAUUCAGAGUAUAGAGAUUAUCUGAGACACAGGGAGGAAGAGGAAGUGCAUGAGACUGGCAGCAGUGUUGACAAAGGGUCACUGGCUGAAAAGGUUAAAGAGGAGUUUAGUGAGAAGCUUCCGGAAAAAAUCCCCAUCUCUAAAUCACCCUCUCAGCCUCAGACCACAACAGUAUCAACAGCUGGAUCUGAUAACACCAUUCCUGAGCCCAAGGUAGAAGAGCCUCUUAGGGUUAAUCUAUUCAGUGGCGCCGCAUCCAUUAAUGAUGAGGUCAUCGGUGUGGGUUUGUCCAUUAAAGAUGACAUCAUACAUGUCAGCCCACCACUCAGUGCUGAGCAGCCAAUAAGCAGCCAGCCUCUCCAUGUAAACACAGAGGACAAACAUGGGGACAACAUGAAACAAAAGAGAACCGAGGAAAGGAAGGAAGAGAGGAGACAAAAUUAUGAGAAGGAAACAGAGGAGAAGGAAGCAGAGGGGAAGGAAGCAGAGGGGAAGGAAGCAGAGGGGAAGGAAGCAGAGGGGAAGGAAGCAGAGGGGAAGGAAGCAGAGGGGAAGGAAACAGAGGAGAAGGAAGCAGAGGGGAAAGAAACAGAGGAGAAGGAAACAGAAGAGAAGGAAGCAGAGGAAGAACAUAAAAAGGGGGAUGAGAAUCUCUCUCAAGAGGAAAAACAAACAGUGGAUAAUCAACAGGAAAUAGAGGAGGACAAGCAGAAAGGAAAAUGGAAUCAGACAAGUACACAACGGCAGAGUAUUGGGACUGAUAAGAAAGCAGGAGAGCCAAUCAGAGAGACCGGAUAUCAGCAUUUGGAACAGGAGCAGACACAAACACUGACAGAAUCACAAAUAGUAGCUCUCCAUGAGGAGAGAGAUGCGAGGAGUGAAAUAACAGACAUCGGAGCCAAUAGGCCUUCUCAUAACCGUUUCUUUUUAGAUUGGCGUGGUGGUGAUGUGCGGGGAGACAACGCGGGGAGUGCACAAACAGUUAACGCUGUGGAGAAAACAGGAAGAAAGAGUGUCAGAACAGAACAAAGUCUCUACCCCACGCUGCCGGUGCCAGCAACAGUGAAGACACAGGAGCCCUGCGAAGAGACUAGAGACCCCUUUGUACCCGAUUCGACUGAAAAUGCAGCCCUUAACCAAUCAGAUUCAGUGAUUCGUCUGAACCGUUUUGCUCGGCAACAGGAACAAGGACAGCAGCAGGAAAGGCCAGGAUCCAGUACUGCCUCAGAGGACUUAUCAUGUGAUCGUUUAGUUAGACGUGAUGGAGGAGGAGAAUCAGACAACAACAAACGCAUCGAGUCCCUCACAGCUUCAAGACUGUUGCCGGGGGUAACACAGGGAGCGGAGAGGACCCUGGGCGGUCAGGAAGAGAACGGCAAGUCAGGUGACUGCAACUAUGAUGUCAUCGACAGAGAGAGAGGUCCGGACACAGGGGAGGGAGUGGGGAAAAUGACUUCUCCUGUUAGGGACUAUGGAGUCAGUAUCCCUUUUCAUAGCUUCAACCUUAGUCGCGAAGGAGUCAAUAUGCCUUCUCAUAGUCACAAUCGAUUGUUUUUAGACUGGGGUAGUGGGGAUGUGGAGAGAGACAGCAACACAGGGACUGUGGUAAAAGUCCCUGAUGGUGGUGAAGAGAAGACAGGUGAAAUCCAAAACACUGGGCCGGGAGAAGUCCAUGUCCUGCCGGAUUCAAACCGCUCAGAGCUCAAGUCAAAAGGUCUGUCGGAGACGGAUGAGGAGAAUGUUGAGGCUGAGAGUCAGAGAACGGGUGUUAUAACACCGACUCGUCAAGAUCGACGCAGCGAAACAGAGAACACUGCAGCCCCCGUCGGAACGGAUUCACACCAAGAUGAAACCACACCGCUGGAAUCUCCUGCCUCAUCAUCGUCGUCUUCUUCACAGGGAAGAGUCAGCACCGAGGGGCAUGGGGUUCACAAGGAGGAGGUCAUACCACAUAAUCCAGACAUGGGGGACAAACCUAACCCCGCCUCAGACCACCAGACCAAAGUGACUGUCCCUGUCAAACUGACCCCAGACCAGGUCACGGACACUCCUGUCGUAGUGGCUGACACCCACCCGGUUCAGGUCCAAUCCUCUGUACAGGAUGCAGAAUACAAGGCAGUUGAACCAUGUUCAGUUUAUGACGCGGUAAUAAACAGAAACGUCCGUGGUACUCGAGAAAGUCCCGGUCUCAAUGUCGAUCCUGAUCCUCGUGUGGUCCAGAAGGACUCCAGCACAACAAUAUCAACAACAACCACACAAAGCCCCACAGUAGUACAACUGGCUGACUCAGAGAGAGAGGCCGCGGAGGAGGAUAUUGAGGCCUUGAACAGGAAGAAAGAGAAGAGGAUGAAAGCGUUAGGAAAAAGGAUGGAAGAGAGGAAAC
rnacentral:lncRNA from 13 species